CCUGCGAGUACUCGAAAUUCGAGUUUCGAGUCGAGUUUUUUAGUAAUACUCGAACUCGAGCUCGUGGCUUUUCAACAACUCGAAAUUCGAGCGAGCUUUUCUUGCACUCUACCUAUAGAAAAAAAAAGACUCUCAUUAUAAGGGAAUAAAAGUCUUACAACACUAUUAUCCUUUACUUUAUAAUGUAACAUGAUCGACCGUAUACAUGAACACAUCAUUUUUACGUACCCGGGAUUUACGAAUUUCCGUGAUGAAUUUUUUUUACUUCUAUAAUUUUCCGCAUAGUUUUAAUGUAUCACUUUCCUGCUUUAUGCGGAAGUAUUUCCCGCUUUAUGCGGAAACAUUUCCCGCAUUUUACUGUAAAAAGCGUUUAAAUUGUCCGGGGUCUCAUCAUUUACGCCAUAAAAUGUGUGAUAUAAAGUCCCGUUUAAAAUUUUUAUGAAAGUUCCUGCCAGUAAUGGCGCACGUAAAUAUAAAUAUGAAGAAAAGACAAAUGAACAACAACUUACGAAGAAAUAUGGAUGAUGUACCAUAACUACAGUACAAUUCCAAUAGUUAUCUUAAGAUAAUUACCAUAAAAAGAACUAACGAUUCUUUGUGGAUACCAUAACUACUGCAGAAGCAUGAUAGUUACCACAUUUGCACUAUAGUUGCCGUAAUAACCGAGAUGUGUAUUUACCGUGAUGGUAAUGUAUUUAUUUAGGACAUAUUAAAAAAAAAGGAUGUUAAAUCUUGAUAUGUACGGUUGGCACAUGUUGCUAAGAAAUAAUGCGAUCUGAAAGAAUGCAGUACUACUACGAAAAGUGAAAAGGGUACUAGUGGAUUUUUAGGUUAUGGCAGUCUCUUUCGUUUUUCAGUAAUAUCGGCCGAAAAUUAACAAGAGUAUUGGAAGUUGGCAGAAAUGCCGAUUCAACUAAAUAUUGGCAAAAUCGGCUUCUUCAGUACAGCUCUACAUUUGAUGACAUGAGUAAACAUAUUUCAGACUACAGGACAUUGAAAAAGACUUUAAUUUCCAUGUAGGUUUAUUGUGCGUAAGUUUUUUUUGCAAGUGUAAAUUGAAUUAAGUAAAAUGCUUCUAUUUUUAUUACUUUAAAUUGAUUAAACUUAAUGACAAGUUACAGAUAUUUGACACUAAUUUCGAGGUUAAACAAUUUGGUAAAUAUGUAGAGUAACGGUAUAUGCGAAAAAAAAUGCUAAAAAUCCGAAAAUACUUUUAUUCUAUGCUCUUUCACUUCCUCUUUUCAAAUCAACCGGCGGAGAUAAGAAAUUCCAAAUACUUUAGGAGAUAUAGAAUUUUUUAAUUUUGCAAUACAACACCUGUACAACCAUUAGACCGACGCCAUUUUUGUUAUUUUGCCGUGUGUUCGUGAAUGCGUAAUAAAUAAAAUGGUCGAUUAGGUCAGGUCAGUUACAUUAUUAAUACUUUCAAACUAAGCGGACAUAAAAAAUAAUGUGAAUUAAUUUCAAUGGUUCUUUAGUUUUAAAGUAUUUAUAAUGUAACUGACCUGACCUAACAAACCCGGACAAUAUCAAAAUAAAAAAUAAGACUUUAAAAUUAGAAACGUUAAAAACCCACCUAAGUUGGAGGCGGGUACAUUUCCUUUGCCAUUAGAAGGAAAUGAUGUAGUCGUUCACCUACGUCGCGAUACCUCCGACGGAUUAAUAAAUAAAUAAAUAAUCACGUAUUGGUUCAUUUGAAUACUGGCCAAUCACGGAACUGUCACGUGACAAAAUUGUCCAAUAAGAAACAUAAUAGAUACUCGUAAACCAGAAACAAUGGUGAUCGCCGCAUGAAUACCCAGGUAUUGUGAUGAAAAUUAAAAAAUUCGAUAUUCCUAAAGUAUUUGGAAUUUCUUAUCUCCGCCGGUUGAUUUGAAAAGAGGAAGUGAAAGAGCAUAGAAUAAAAGUAUUUUCGGAAUUUUAGCAUUUUUUUUCCGCAUAUACAGCGACUCUACAUAUUUACCAACAAUUUUACUAAAGCAUUCCAGCCACACAGGUUGCCAGCGAGAGAUGCUUCUCAUCUGCUGUAAACACCAUCUCCAAUCGUAGAGCUAAUUUAACUCCUGAACGUGCAGAACAAAUUAUUUUUCUGCAUGAUAGAUUGAAGAACAGAAUUUAAUACUCUAUGACAAUCUCUCUCAGAAUUUUUGUGCCGAAAAGUGGAAAUGUUGAAACAAUGUGAAUGUACUUUUCAAACAACAUGAUUUUUGGUGCUCAGUUAGUUGAAGCUCAGUAAGGACUCCAGAAAAAUUGACAAGGAUGAAAUUAUUCCAAAGUUAUGUUACAUUUACACAAACAUAUACGUACUUGUAAACUGUGGUUAUGUUAGUUGGAUUAUAUCAGUUACUAAUGAACCAAUGGAAACAGGUUAGAUUCAAUGGAAAACAUGUUUUUUUUCCUAGCAGUGCAAAUUAUAAAAGCACUCUGUAAAUAGUUACCCAAAAUUAAUAAGCCCACUUCAUUUUAAUACUUUAUUCAAACAUUAUACCUACUAAGUUUAAGGUAAAAAUAAUUUCCCAAAAGUGUAACUGUAUCACAAAAGCUCAAGCUUCGAGAACUUUCAAGUAGGCUCGCUCGAGCUUGGCUCAAAGUAAAAUUCUUAGGCUCGCAGACCUCUAAUGUAGGUCUAUCUAUUUAGUAGGCUAACAAUGAUAAUGGUUUCUUUUUUUAUUUCCAUAUUUUUCUCAAAAGUUCUCACAUUUUAUUACUCCAUCACAGUAAAUUUAUGUGCAAUAAACUGAAAAAAAAAAAAACUCGAACUCGACUCGAUACUCGCGAGUAUUUUAGCAAACUCGCUCGAGCUCGACUCGAAGUGAAAAUCUUCUGCUCGCAGAAGCCUACUAUUAAACUAAGAGGUGUUUUCUUUACAUAAUAUUAAAGCACAAUGUUUCCUUGUGGCGUAGGUGAUUUAGAAUUUCCAUUUAUCUAGAAAAAUGCGCUUUCAGAAUGUUUUUUAACACACAGUGUUUCGGAAGGUUUAUGAAGAAAAAAAAUUGACUACCCGUUUUAUUUUUUUGCAGCUGAAUUCGGGCACGUGCAUGAAAUAUAAUUAAACCGUAGGAAGCGCAAUGGUUUAAAGUAUUGAUGUUGAAGAUUUGAAAAGAUUUAUUGAAAUAGUGUGAGAGAAUGAGAGAGUUGAGUGAGAAGAUGUGCAGGAGUGGCAGAGGUUAGCUCUCAGCCACAUGUUGUGCGCAGUUGCGGACAAAAAAAUAAUCCAUUCCGCCUCCCCAUGGCGAAGGAUGAGUGAAAGAGAAACCUGCUAAACCUUCCCCUCCUCUGGGCACGAUAGAACCGUAUCGGCUGUGUGUUAGAGGGAGAGCGAGAUACAACCUUUGAGGUUCUGUUAAUUCCUCUUAGAUGGCAGGCCGCAGAGCGACCGCCAACAACACCCUUCCCGUCUGAAGGCCAUCUCGCCACUGACGAGCUGGAACUAAGCUCCUGACCUCCGUACAUAGUAACGGUCACCCACAUAGGCAUCUAGACUCUUUAGUGAUCAUAUGAUACAAAAUUCAUUGUUUUCGGGCCUGUGACCGUUUUUUACCGUGCACCAAUCGCCUUAAGCCCACACGCUAAACUCUCGGAUCGUCUAGCCCUUUCCCCCUCGGAAAUUUCAGCAGGCCACUUUGUGAAUCCCACAGAUUUGUGUACCUGCUGCUAGCCAAAUAAAAAAAAAGGACAGUAUUGCAUGUGUGUAGAACAUUCUGAGUUUAAAAUAAAGAAUGUCCCAAAUGACAAAAAUUGUGAAAGAAUAAUUUUUUCCUUAACUUAACCUAACUUAGAACUAAAGUAUUGUCGUGACUAGGGAUGUUAGGGAACGAACAAAUUAAUUGUCGGAGUGGGCGCCACCACGUGAUGUGGGCACGUGGACCCGGCGGAGACUCUCUUCAGGGCGUGACGUGACCCGUGUAGGGCUAGGCUCGGUUCCCUUAGCACGCGAUAUCGUUACAGUGGGCUCUUCAGGCGUCCCACACGCCUCAAGGUUCAGGAGCAGGGACACGUGGCCACUCGACUAAAAAUCACACGUUCGACGUACUCCUUUUAUUUCAGCAACGUUACAACACGUCUCCAAUCACGCUACACCUACAUACACUAUGAAACUGUUAAAAUGCCAACGGUGGGAGAGAAUAAGUUUACAUGCUGACCAGGUCACCUCGUGGCCUGGCAUCGUUAGUUUGGACGCGGUUCAUGAUUAAAUGUCCGAAUUGAACUUAAAUAUUUAUUAAAACGAGUCGGCCACCCGGAGUAGGCCUUGCAGAUACAAAAAAGGUUUAAGAAUGAUAAAAAGUCCGGCGGAUGUUAAAAGAUUAGUUGAUUAAGAAAAAUGUGAAGUUGCGCGGUGCUCACCAAGCAUCUUACCCUGGGUGACGAACGGAAGCGACUGAAGAGGCCAGGGCAGCAUGGCGGCCGGAAAGCGCUGGAUUUACUGUUAGUCUCUCCUGUUAUUUAUUAAUACAUAUUUUAACUAAAACAAAUACACUAAACAUUCUAUAAUAAAAUUAUAACAAAGUUUCCUUAAUUAUUUAAGUUGAGUAUUGAUUAUUUUAACUAUGAUUAUGGUUCAAACUUGUUGCGGGUAGUUCCAUUGCCUGCCGCGUGGGGCGCUGCGCCGUCCUUACAACUAGCACUUAAAACAUAAACACUUAGGGAAUAUUAUUUAAAGAAAAGACAGUUAGGUAAACCUAAAAAUUGAAUAAUAAAAUAAAAGAGGUCGUGCCACAGACUUUACUCCCGCCUCUUGUCGGCAGCCUCACACGCACACACACACACACACACCUGCACACGGGGCGGGAGGUUUGAAAUAGAGGGUGGUGGUGGGAGGAGAGGGGUGGCGACGGCAUGAGGCACAUCAGGCUUAGGGAGGGCGUAGCCCUGGUCGACGUCAGUAUAAUAUGUUUAGUAAAUGAUCAGAGUUAAGGAAGGACAUUAGUGCAUCUCAGAAGCAAGCCUAUAUGCCUAUUCAUAAUGGGUAUCAACCAUGUUUUGUUUGGGGAUUAGCAAGCCAUGAAUGCAAUAGCCUCCUUUGCUUUAAUCUGACUAGCAGACUACAGUAUCGCACAGCUGAUCAGAAUGACAAGGCCACAUACUUGAAAACAUUUGAGCUAGACUAACAGCCAGCUAGCCUACUUCCUCAAAUUGAUGGGGUCCCAGGUCCUUCUGGCCAAGUUUAAUAAUGAAACCCAAAACUUCAUGUGGUUUUUAAUAUAUAAAAUUAGUUGUUUAAUUUUAGAAUCUUCUUGAAGGUAUUUGUGAGGACAGAAAAACUUUAUAAAAAUGUAACAUAAACAUUUGGAAAUCCAGUAAAAAUAUAUACGUAUAUAUAAAAGCUUUUCAAAUCAAUGUGAUCUCAUGGAGUAGUAAAACUGUUGGCUAGUAAAAAUGUGUGUGGCAAUGUUUGAAAAAAAUAAGAGAUAAAAUAAUUAGACACAAUUUAGUUUAUUAGGGUUGGUUGACUUAGCAACUGAGAGGAGAUAUAUACACAGCAGGAAAUAUAGCUGUAUAUGAAGUAAAUUAAGACAGUUGUAAGGUAAGCUAGUAUUAGUGAUGGAUGGAAGUGCAUGCAGAAUUUUGUAGAACAGGUACACUAUUUCAACUGAAUGAAUCUUAAUAUGACUCAAAAAUUGGGAGUUUCUGUUACAAGAUAGGACUAGAAUAGGGUUGCAUAGCUUCCAUAAGAAUAAGAAACAGAUUUUCAGGCUGGAUUGUGAUCAAGGAAAUAUAUCUUUUGUUUACAAGAUUUCACUCUCAAAUGUAGCUAGGGGAAAACUGCAUAAUAGUUUACCACGCUGUUCCACUCCCUCCCCAACACAAAUGUUGGUGUGCUCUACAUUGCAAGUACGAAACUAACCACAAAGCAGGACAUAUCAAGCUACAGUUGUUGGGAAUUGUAAUGUUCCCGCUACAAAAUAGGUCACUUAGUACACAAUUAAGUCAGGUACCAAAUGUAGUGCAGAUGAUAAGAAAUGUAAAGUAGCAAACCUUUAAUUUAUAUUAUGAAAUGGACAACAUAUAUGAUGUCAUGAGACUACUAAAGACAUUAUAAGCCUGCAGUCUUUCAUGUUCUUACCUUGUGACCGUCGCACAGCCACGUUGACUCUAUGCACUCACGCAUGCCACACUGGAACUGGUUGCUGCCACACUUGAAUGUCUCUUCGGACGGGUUCCUCAAGAUGUCUGAAAAAAGGAACUGUAGGUUCUCCACACGAUAUAUAACACAUAUACAUCCACUCUCUACCCCAAACAACUUUGACACGCUAGACCUGAAGUUCAACAACUGGUUUAUUGGAAGUACUUGGGAUAGAACACUAAGUAUCUGGUUAACGUUUAAUUGAACCAAGUUCUUCAACCACUGCAUAAUUUGUCACUGCCAUAAAAUUAUUUCUUGAAAUCAUUGUGGGUAACACCAUACCAGAAAACUAUUCCAAUAAUAGAGUUAUUUUAUUAUUUAAAUGAAAUCAUUUUGCAGUGGUUGUAGAGAGUUUUUAUUUGCACUAUAUUAAAUGUUGGCAGUGAGUUAUUUUAGACCACCCUUUAUUCAGUAGUUUCAUUAUUCUCAGUGAGAUAGAAGCUUAGUGCAGCAUUUCUAUCAUACUGAUUACUUUAAUUUUUGAACAAAUUAUUGCACAUAAAAAUUAUUUUAAAUAUGUUUUGACAUUGACCAGGGCUGCACUCUCAAAACCCGAUGUGCCUCGCCCCACUUCAGGCCCUUCUUCUCCCACCAUCAGCCUCUAUUCAAACCUCCCGCCAAUGAGUGUGUGUGUGUGUGUGUGCGUGUGUUUGUUCACCUCACAAGAGGUAAAUAGUGUCUGUGCCACACACCCUAAUAUAAUAUUUUAUUUAAUAUUAUUCAUAAUUUUAUUUUUAUUUUUAAAUUCCCCCAGUGUAUUGUUUUCUUUCAGCUUAAAUAGCGAUGGAGCAGUGCAAUGUACAAACACUUUCGGAACGCACCCCUAUGCAGAAAGUUUAAUUUUGAACUUGAUAAAUAAUUAGAUUAAUUACUAAUACAAGUAAAUGUUUUUUAAUUCUGAGGCCAUUUGCUGGGCCUCAGUCUUACUGCACCUUUUUCUAUCAAUUCUUCUAUUUUUCCUUUUUUGUGUUUUAAAUAUUGUUCUGAUGUUAUUCUUGUUCUUAUAUAGGCCAGUUAUUAUUUAUUUAAAUAUGUGUGUAAUUCUUUUAUAUUCUAUUUUUGUUUUGAUGUGAGUCAGUUUCUUUUAUACGCUAAUACGCAAUAUCGAUACUGUUUCCUCGGGUGGCCACUGCGCGCUGUGUCAUCGGCGGCUACCUGACGUCACGAUUGCCGGAAGAGAGAAUGGGGAGUCUACUGCCGGCGGGGCUGGAAGACACGUCGUGGGACGUCUCCGUGCGGAUGCGCGAGGUCUCGCCGGGUGGGCGAGCCGAAUGCCUGCGGAGAUGGAGAGGCGGCCCACCACUACUUGUGCUGGCACUUUGAGCACUACGUUUGUUGAGGACAACGGGAGUGAUUAUACUAUGGAUCGCCAGCACCGACAAGGUCCAUCUUGCCACGAGGCCCGACGUAGCACCAGGGUUGGGACUCUGAGCCGCCCACGUUGCGGCAGUGGUUGUGCCCCGACAGCUUGGAGGCCAUGUCCGCUGCGGAGACUCUGGGCCACACGUACGGCAGCACCUCCUCCAGGUCCCAGUCGAGGCAGGGCUCUCCGUUCACAGUGACGUUGGCCGGGCCGUCGUAGUCGUCUCCCGCGCCGUUCGCACAGCCUGGCGGGACGUCAAGGAGCGUGCACUAUUACUACAGACAACAUUAUAUGGGGAACUGAGAUAAAACUGAAAUAACGACAAGUGGCUGCUAGUAGCCCAGAGAGCGCCGCCGAAGUGAGGAACGACUUCUGGUGGAAGAGAGUUGAGACUCUGCAAUGGGCCGGCGACGAAGGAAGUGAUUGUUGGAGCUGGCAUAAGAGACCACCAUGGUGCAACCGGGAAUAAUGAAGCAAGGCGAACCAGUUCUGAGUUGGAUGUUCGGCACGGCCAUAGCAUGAACCUACGACCAAGACUGCUGCGCCCAGCUGCCGACUACUGCAGAGAGCUUAUCGCGGCGUGCCAAGAAGUGACCUCCGAGGAGCUGGCAGUGCUGAAUGGCUUCUCCGUGGGUGAAGGCUUCUGCCCGCCCCUCCUCCACCAGCGCGUAGCAGCGGCCCCCG